rnacentral:rRNA from 1 species
UACGUAGGGUGCGAGCGUUAAUCGGAAUUACUGGGCGUAAAGCGUGCGCAGGCGGUCUCGUAAGACAGGUGUGAAAUCCCCGGGCUCAACCUGGGAACUGCGCUUGUGACUGCGAGGCUAGAGUGCGGAAGAGGGAGGUGGAAUUCCACGUGUAGCAGUGAAAUGCGUAGAGAUGUGGAGGAACACCGAUGGCGAAGGCAGCCUCCUGGGCCAGCACUGACGCUCAUGCACGAAAGCGUGGGGAGCAAACAGG